rnacentral:miRNA from 1 species
AAGUGCCGUCAUUGCUGAGAUC